UACGUAGGGUGCAAGCGUUGUCCGGAAUUAUUGGGCGUAAAGAGCUCGUAGGCGGUCUGUUGCGUCGGCUGUGAAAACCCGAGGCUCAACCUCGGGCCUGCAGCCGAUACGGGCAGACUAGAGUUCGGCAGGGGAGACUGGAAUUCCUGGUGUAGCGGUGAAAUGCGCAGAUAUCAGGAGGAACACCGGUGGCGAAGGCGGGUCUCUGGGCCGAUACUGACGCUGAGGAGCGAAAGCGUGGGGAGCGAACAGG
rnacentral:rRNA from 1 species